UGUCACAUCGAGAAAAUAUCCUUCCUCAGUGACAAGAUAGUAGAGAAACAGCAUUGUUCUUCCUGAUUAUUAUUUACAUCUGGAUAAUCUCUGAGUUUCCUCCGUGUAGGCUUUUUACGCACAGCAGAAACGCGUGGAUUAAUACAAAUACUAAACUAGUUGGGGGAACAGAGAACGUGAAAAUUGUCGAGAAGCCUCAAGUGGAGAGAUAGAGAGAGAGAGAGAGAGAAUGGACCAGUCUGGAGAGGCUGAGAACAAUGCUGCUGCAGUGGCCACAACAUCAGCGUUGGGUGGAGAAAGCUGAGAUCCUGGAACACAGUGUUCUCUUUCUCCGGAAUGCUGGCAUUGGGGUCAGGAAGAAAGCUAAAGGUGAGGAGCAUCGAGGUCGCGGCUUAAGCUCAACUCGCUGCCCGGCACAACACGCCACCAGUCCUUACCCAUCAUGAAGAUACAGGAAUCCCGAUACAGACAGCAGCUUUGUGCAGUCAGGAUAAAUCAUCCUCACAGAGCUCCGCUCCGACAUGGAGCAACGCUCCCCAGCAGCACCACAGACACGCUGCCAAAGAAGCCCAAUCUCAGAACCUCUCAGCCAGCCAGUCUGUGUGGAGGCCGUGGCUCUGAUCUACCACAGGAUAUUGAACUGUAAACAACUGCCACAUCCGUUGCUGCUGAGACUGCUACGGAGUCAUUCAUUUAUGUAGUGUUGUGAACACUGAACUCAUGGACUCCAUAGAUUUGCAGUGAUCUGACCGUAUUGUAGCUAUACCGCAUAGCAGAAUAUAUCUGUAAUUAUUGCACAAUUACUUCGACUUUGCCAUCACUACAUCUGCUGAUGUAAAAAGGUCUUUAUAAAUACAUUUGAUUAGAUGAUUACAACAUGUACUAUGUAUAACUUGUAGUACGAGAUGGGCAGUAUUUCUGUUACAUGUAUUUGAAAAAUGUAUUUCAAUUACUUCUGAGUUUUGUAUUACAUGGGGCUGAACAAGACUUCAAUGUAUUUUGUAACCAGAUCAAAUCGAGAACUCUUUGUAUUUACAAAAUACUUUUCUAUACCAUUUUUUAAAUUUUUAUACUGGUUCACCAUUUUGUGGCCCCCUUUCACCCUGCAUUGGUAUCAGAAGUCUGAUGGCACUAUGGUGUGAUAAGAGCAUAUUUAGUCAGUGCAUUUAUUUUCGCAGCAAAGUACGUUCAUCUCUAGGAGACAGAAUGUGUCUCCUUCCUGAGCGGUAUGAUGGCAGUGUGGUCCCAUGGUGUUUAAACUUGCGUACUGUUGUUUGUACAGAUGAAUGUGGUACAUUCAGGCGUUUGAAAAUAGUUCCCAAGGAUGAACCAGACUUGUGGAGGUCUACAAUUUUUUUUUUUCUUAGGUUUUGGCUGAUUUCUUUUGAUUUUCCCAUGAUGUCAAGCAAAGAGGCACUGAGUUUCAAGGUAGGCCUUGAAAUACAUCCACAGGUACACCUCCAAUUGACUCAAAUGAUGUCAAUUAGCCUAUCAGAAGCUUCUAAAGCCAUGACAUUUUCUGGAAUUUUCCAAGCCGUUUAAAGGCACAGUCAACUUAGUGUUUGUAAAUUUCUGACCCACUGAAAUUGUAAUACAGUGAAUUAUAAGAUAAAUAAUCUGUAAACAAUUGUGGUAAAAAUUACUUGUGUUAUGAACAAAGUAGAUGUCCUAACCGACUUGCCAAAACUAUAGAAAUUUGUGGAGUGGUUGAAAAACAACUUUUAAUGGCUCCAACCUACGUGUAUGUAAACCUCAACUGUAAACUUCAAUUGUAGAAUAAAAAAACAAACCUAUUACAGUUAUAGCAAGUAAAAUGUUUCUGUUUCUGAUUGGGCUGAAUACUUGCAAAUGUAUUUAUGUGUUAUAAAAUAGAAAAUGCAUGUAUUUUGUAGUUUAUUUUUGAUACACUGAGCUUUAUGGUAUUUACGACCAACCUUGAAUUGAGAAGGAAGAUAGUAUUGCCAAGUUAAGGGGUCUCCGGUACCUUUGUAUACUUGUUGCUGGUGGUUCGUUAUGAAUGUAUUAAAUUCUCCUUUAUUCACAUAAAUACAAAAUCUCUGUAGGUAGUGGCCACGAG